AGAGUUUGAUCAUGGCUCAGAGUGAACGCUGGCGGUAGGCCUAACACAUGCAAGUCGAACGGCAGCACAGGAGAGCUUGCUCUCUGGGUGGCGAGUGGCGGACGGGUGAGGAAUACAUCGGAAUCUACCUUGUCGUGGGGAUAACGUAGGGAAACUUACGCUAAUACCGCAUACGACCUUCGGGUGAAAGUGGGGGACCGCAAGGCCUCACGCGAUUAGAUGAGCCGAUGUCGGAUUAGCUAGUUGGCGGGGUAAAAGCCCACCAAGGCGACGAUCCGUAGCUGGUCUGAGAGGAUGAUCAGCCACACUGGAACUGAGACACGGUCCAGACUCCUACGGGAGGCAGCAGUGGGAAAUAUUGGACAAUGGGCGCAAGCCUGAUCCAGCCAUACCGCGUGGGUGAAGAAGGCCUUCGGGUUGUAAAGCCCUUUUGUUGGGAAAGAAAUCUUGCCGGUUAAUACCUGGCGAGGAUGACGGUACCCAAAGAAUAAGCACCGGCUAACUUCGUGCCAGCAGCCGCGGUAAUACGAAGGGUGCAAGCGUUACUCGGAAUUACUGGGCGUAAAGCGUGCGUAGGUGGUGGUUUAAGUCUGCUGUGAAAGCCCUGGGCUCAACCUGGGAAUUGCAGUGGAUACUGGGUCACUAGAGUGUGGUAGAGGGAUGCGGAAUUUCCGGUGUAGCAGUGAAAUGCGUAGAGAUC
rnacentral:rRNA from 1 species